rnacentral:rRNA from 1 species
UACGUAGGGUGCGAGCGUUAAUCGGAAUUACUGGGCGUAAAGCGCGCGCAGGCGGCAUGGCAAGUAAGGUGUGAAAUCUCCUGGCUCAACCGGGAGGGUGCACUUUAGACUGCCAAGCUUGAGGUCGGUAGAGGGGGGGUAGAAUUGCUGGUGUAGCGGUGAAAUGCGUAGAGAUCAGCAGGAAUACCCGUGGCGAAGGCGGCCCCCUGGGCCGUACCUGACGCUGAGGCGCGAAGGCUAGGGGAGCGAACGGG